rnacentral:sRNA from 1 species
AGGCGCUUUCUCAGGUUUCUGCUGAUCUUGCAGCGCCCAGAAAUGGACCGAGCGGACCCGCCGCCGCACGCACCCUGCUCCACUCCAAGCUCCUAAGGGCUCCUGGCGCGCCGCGUAGCCUUGGCGAGGUCCGCGCUGGGGUGCGGAGAGCGAAGGGAACUGGAGAGCCAUGUAGAUCCAGGCUCUUGCCCGCCCGCCUCCUUCGGGAUCGAAUCAAGGGCUCCCAUAGUGUUAGGAGGGGGCGAGAGUGCUGUUUAUCGUCAUUUGCCUCGGAGCUUCGAGAAAGGGUGGUAUUUUGCUUUUCCGCCCCGCAUCCUCCGGAACUCCCUGCACCGGAGAGAGGACGGCGUCUCCAGGUUGCUGGCAACCGGUGAGAAUGGGGGUAGGGAAUGAACAUUUUCGCCGUAGCUGCUCGGUAAAGCGAUUGUCCAACUGAGAGGGGCGUCGGACGAGUGGACCAGGGCGGCGAGUUUGCCCGGCGCGUCUCGGAUGCUGCUGCGGCGGCCGCCGCGGCUCCCGCCAGGGCACUGCAAAGGCGACCUGCCGCAUUCCCACUCGGGCUCUCCGCCGACUCAGCACCGCCCCUGCGCCAAGCCAGCCGGCCAGUAGGUGUUCAGUGAGUCCUGAAUGAAGAAAGAAUAUUUUGCUAUGUUGGAUGCUGUGGGGAAGACCCAAGGAAAUUUUUGCAAGCAGGCUGGAGUCCAGUGGCACCGUCUUGGCUCACUGCAGCCUCCGCCUCCUGGGUUUAAGCUAUUCUCCUGCCUCAGCCUCCUGAGUAGCUGGGACUACAGGCGCCUGCUACCACGCCUGGCUAAUUUUUGAAUUUUUUAGUCGAGACGGGGUUUCACCAUGUUGGCCAGGAUGGUCUCGAUCUCCUGAUCUCAGUGGGAAAGAGGGACGGAAGAGUAAGAUUGAAAUCUGAGGCAAGAGGAGUGGCCUAACUUGGUGGAGGCAGGAGAGGCGCGUGUUCUCUACAUGCCCGUCCAAGUCCCUGGGGCUGGGGCUGGGGUCGACAACAGAUCAGAGCACAGGAGUAGAGCGCUUCUGGGAGGGUGGGGUCACCCGUGAGUCACGUCCUGCACCCUGGAGCCCAGAGGACCCUUCGCUCAAACCCACCACCAGCUGGCAACACCGGACCAGCCAGAGCCGCUUUCUUCGCUGCGCAGAGGAGCCUGGGAGAAGCCAGAGGUGUAAGUCAAGCUGUGGAGGGACUGGGUGUGGCUGAGCCCCGUGACAAGUGGGAGGAGCCAGGGAUGCUUGGGAGAGGAGGCACUGUGCGCGAGAGAGGAGGGAAGGGGGAAGCGUUCGUGCCUCUCUGCCCCCUGUCCCCCUCUUGCUGCAUAGUAGCCACAUCCAUGUCUCUUGUACCCUGCAAUCUGGAGGCCCCUGCCAGAAGCGGGAAAUCCCAAGUACAGCAGCAAAAGGUAUGAGGAUUGGCACAAAGUUGUGGCCAAUGGAGGCUCCCCAAAGUGCAUGGAAGGUGGUGGUCCAGUGUCUAAAGGCAGGAGUGCUGGGGCAACCCCAUAGCUGGGGGUCCUAUGGGAGAGACUGAGGAACUUCGGUUUGUGGACUCUCAGUCAACUGUGUUACUGAGGAGGGGAAAGGGAAGUAGAUGAGUUGGUGGUUUGAACAAGACCCAAAUCUUGCUUCUACUUAUAGGUGCUCACAAUGGCCAGUGCCCUGGAAAAGCUCUGGAAUAAAUACACCUGGGCCUUAGAAAGCAGAGGCAGGAGACAAUGCCAUCCAGUGGGAGCUUUCAUUUGUUUCCUCAGCCAGCCUCUGUGUCAGGCUUUUUGGGAACAAGGGCUGGAUGAACAAGACCUUGGGAGUUCUUGUGGGGAGGGACUGGGGGUGAAUGGGCAGUGUGGCUGGCCCGGUGAUCACUUCUCCUCUGCUUGUCUAGGCUUGAGGAUGGAUUCUUGGCUCCUGGUGCAUUGCCACUCCCUGCCACCCUCCUCCUUGUCUUCUGUCUUCUCCUGGUGGCUUCAGGCCUUGCUUCAUGUCCCAAAAGGAGCCUCUGGGGCUGGCACAGCCCUCACUGCCUACAACCUGGGCCUGGUGGUUCUCCUAGGGUGCCUCUGGGAGGUCAUGGCCACCCCGCUGCUGGCUAACUGCAGCUACUUCUGCCAGCCAGUGGACUACAGAUGGAGCAAGCAUGGAAUGAGGGCAUCUUCCUGGAGACAGGAAGGUAGGCAUUGUGGAAUCAGCGGUGCGUAGAACAGUGAGGAUUUGGGGCUGAACCCAGCCCAGGUGGGACAAGCCGUGGCACCAGCCGGACUGCAGUCUGAUGGAACUUCCCCUUCCUGCCCAGCAGAUGGCGAGCGUGUGCUGCUGGUGCCUCUUUCCAAAGGACGUUGAAUUGCUUGACAGGUGUUCCAGGUGUUCUUUACUUUAUGAAUGAAGCCGGAGCAGCCCACCUUCCUGCAUCUCUACCACCAUGGCACCAUGCCCUGUGAUGGGUGGGCUGGAGUCAAAUACGUAGCAGGCAACCAGGGUCAGUUUGUGGCCACUGCUGCCCCCUCUUCCUACAGUCUCCUCACUGAGUGCCCCUUCCCUGUUGGGUUCAACACAUCUGUGCUCCUGUAAGCCCUCAGCCUCCUGGUUCUCUUCCUCAACUUCUACCACCAGACACAUCUGAGAAGCAAGCAAGAGAGGCUGAACUAGGAGCAGGACCCAGGGACUGAAACCAUCACAGCAUCCCCACAGAGAAUUGGGUGGAAGGCAGCGUGGCUUCCAGCUUACUGGUGCUGAGCAGAUUUCUCUGGGUCUCCAUUGUAUCCUCUGAAGGAAGGAGGAGGAUUGCCUUCUGUCCAGAUCUCAGGAUCAAACAAAUAGGUCCAACUUCCUGUGCUCACUUCAGUUAGAGCACUUCUCAUGUGACUUUGUAGCUUUGUGUGCAUCUCCUUCCUCUACUAGACCUAAGCCCCUCACGGGAGGGACUCUCUUAUUCUUGAUGUUCCCCACACCUGGAAUUUCAAUAAACAUCUCAAUAAACGUGUGUGUUUGGAUCCUUGGAUCCCAUGACUGCUGUCAUAACCUUGGUGAAGAAGAGGGCUGGGAGUAGGAAAGAGGUCAAGGUUGGCUUGAUCUCUAACCCUAUAGUGGGAAAUUGUGACGGAGAAUAUUCAAGAGUCGGUGUGGGUCUGUUUGAUUUCAGGUGUAGCUGUGUAAAUAGUUAGCCCUGCAUAUAUUUUUGUCUACUCACAACUGCCUGCAUGUGUAUUCAUACAGUUGUGUGAUUCUGUGUAUGUGCAUGGGGAGUGGGAGAGGGCCAUGUGCACAUGUCUGAAUACUUGUUUUCAAAUAUACAUGCAUGUUUCCAUUUGGAUUUCUCUCCAUUUGUGUUGUUUGCCUGCCUCUUCUGUAAGUCUCUGAAAGUGCCACAUUGGCAAAUAAAAGCCACUGGGAUCAA